UGGGGAAUCUUAGACAAUGGGGGAAACCCUGAUCUAGCCAUGCCGCGUGAGUGUCGAAAGCCUUAGGGUCGUAAAGCUCUUUCGCCAGGGAUGAUAAUGACAGUACCUGGUAAAGAAACCCCGGCUAACUCCGUGCCAGCAGCCGCGGUAAUACGGAGGGGGUUAGCGUUGUUCGGAAUUACUGGGCGUAAAGCGCACGUAGGCGGACUAUUAAGUCAGGGGUGAAAUCCCGAGGCUCAACCUCGGAACUGCCCUCAAUACUGUCGAUCUUGAGUCCGGGAGAGGUGAGUGGAAUUCCUAGUGUAGAGGUGAAAUUCGUAGAUAUUAGGAAGAACACCAGUGGCGAAGGCGGCUCACUGGCCCGGUACUGACGCUGAGGUGCGAAAGCGUGGGGAGCAAACAGGAUUAGAUACCCCCGUAGUCC
rnacentral:rRNA from 1 species